rnacentral:rRNA from 1 species
GACGAACGCUGGCGGCGCGCUUAACACAUGCAAGUCGAACGGAAAGGCCCUUCGGGGUACUCGAGUGGCGAACGGGUGAGUAACACGUGGGUGAUCUGCCCUGCACUUUGGGAUAAGCCUGGGAAACUGGGUCUAAUACCGAAUAGGACCACGCGCUUCAUGGUGUGUGGUGGAAAGCUUUUGCGGUGUGGGAUGGGCCCGCGGCCUAUCAGCUUGUUGGUGGGGUAAUGGCCUACCAAGGCGACGACGGGUAGCCGGCCUGAGAGGGUGACCGGCCACACUGGGACUGAGAUACGGCCCAGACUCCUACGGGAGGCAGCAGUGGGGAAUAUUGCACAAUGGGCGCAAGCCUGAUGCAGCGACGCCGCGUGAGGGAUGACGGCCUUCGGGUUGUAAACCUCUUUCAAUAGGGACGAAGCGCAAGUGACGGUACCUAUAGAAGAAGCACCGGCCAACUACGUG